rnacentral:misc_RNA from 1 species
GAUGAAGAACGCAGCGAAAUGCGAUAAGUAAUGUGAAUUGCAGAAUUCAGUGAAUCAUUGAAUCUUUGAACGCACAUUGCGCCCCUUGGUAUUCCGGGGGGCAUGCCUGUUCGAGCGUCAUUUCAACCCUCAAGCUCUGCUUGGUAUUGGGCACCGUCCUUUGCGGGCGCGCCUCAAAGACCUCGGCGGUGGCGUCUUGCCUCAAGCGUAGUAGAAUACACCUCGCUUCGGAGCGUAAGGCGUCGCCCGCCGGACGAACCUUCUGAACUUUUCUCAAGGUUGACCUCGGAUCAGGUAGGGAUACCCGCUGAACUUAAGCAUAUCAAUAAGCGGAGGA